rnacentral:rRNA from 1 species
UCGGCCAGCCACAGCUCUAAGAAUACGCGGAGGAGGUGGCCCGGGUUGGCAUCGGCGCUAUCCGGCGCGGGCCACGGGCCAGCUUCCAAGUGCGUCUGCGCGCCGGCCACCCACGCCGGGUCCUUCAAGUGCCGCUUCCACCGCACCAACUCCCAGGGCCACGGUCAGAGAAGCCGCCCUUCUUCGCCCCCUUCACCGGCAGCGGCCAACGCGGUGUCGCGGCACCCGGCCUCGCCGUCCUCGUCUUCCGGCACCGUCGCGACCCAGUAA